rnacentral:rRNA from 1 species
CGAUGAAGCCGCUUCGGUGGUGGAUUAGUGGCGAACGGGUGAGUAACACGUGGGCAAUCUGCCCUUCACUCUGGGACAAGCCCUGGAAACGGGGUCUAAUACCGGAUAACACUCUGUCCCGCAUGGGACGGGGUUGAAAGCUCCGGCGGUGAAGGAUGAGCCCGCGGCCUAUCAGCUUGUUGGUGGGGUAAUGGCCUACCAAGGCGACGACGGGUAGCCGGCCUGAGAGGGCGACCGGCCACACUGGGACUGAGACACGGCCCAGACUCCUACGGGAGGCAGCAGUGGGGAAUAUUGCACAAUGGGCGAAAGCCUGAUGCAGCGACGCCGCGUGAGGGAUGACGGCCUUCGGGUUGUAAACCUCUUUCAGCAGGGAAGAAGCGAAAGUGACGGUACCUGCAGAAGAAGCGCCGGCUAACUACGUGCCAGCAGCCGCGGUAAUACGUAGGGCGCAAGCGUUGUCCGGAAUUAUUGGGCGUAAAGAGCUCGUAGGCGGCUUGUCACGUCGGAUGUGAAAGCCCGGGGCUUAACCCCGGGUCUGCAUUCGAUACGGGCUAGCUAGAGUGUGGUAGGGGAGAUCGGAAUUCCUGGUGUAGCGGUGAAAUGCGCAGAUAUCAGGAGGAACACCGGUGGCGAAGGCGGAUCUCUGGGCCAUUACUGACGCUGAGGAGCGAAAGCGUGGGGAGCGAACAGGAUUAGAUACCCUGGUAGUCCACGCCGUAAACGUUGGGAACUAGGUGUUGGCGACAUUCCACGUCGUCGGUGCCGCAGCUAACGCAUU